UCCAACCUGCCCUGCACAUCUCUCUCUCUGUACCCCUAACAACGAAAUGCAAACUUGUGUUUGUGAAGAUGGAAUGAUGCAGUGUCCUGACAAGGUUUGCGUUCCUUUCGACAAAGUGUGUGAUGGCAUCUCACACUGUCUUGACGGUUCUGAUGAAGUGAACUGCACAUGCAUUGAGCGGCUGCGACGUGGUGACAGAAGGAAAGUGUGUGAUGGAAUUAUAGACUGCAAUGACCAGGAAGAUGAGAAAUACUGUGGC